AUCUUUGGUAUUCAAGCUUACUGGGCUCAGAUGUUUAUCUUCCCAGUAAAAGUUCUUAAAAUGAUUGAAAGUAUCUGGAGGAGCUUCAUUUGGUUUUGGAUGAAUGCUGUCACUAAGACAGCAUACAUCUCCUGGGACAGAAUGUGCACCCCAAAGUCAGUAGGGGGAAUGAACCUAACCAACCUCAAACUGUGGAACAAGGCUGCCAUUGCAAAGACCUGUUGGGACAUAGCACAUGCCAGACCGAAAGCAGUUUUCAACCUGUGGCUAGCCCUACAGGACAGACUACCAACCAGGGAUAGACUAAAUAGCUGGGGAAUAGGAAUUGAGCAGCACUGCCCUCUAUGCCAAACCCAAUCUGAAACAAGAGAUCAUCUCCUCACGGAAUGCCCUGUCACUGUGGAUCUAUGGGGAAGAACAAGCUAAGUGACCAUCUGGUCUAAAUAAAACUCACUUUAUUCAAUUUAUUUGUCUUUUUUAUUACUCCGUCCCUAAAAUAUAAUAUAAUGAAUUGGCUACAGGAACAAUGCACACCUAGUGGCAGUUGGAACCAGAAGAUGCAAUGGUUGAUUGCCAAAGCCAAGGGACGAAAAUGUCGUGCAGCCAUUUUCAAAAUGGUUGCAGCUGAAGUUGCAUAUGCUAUCUGGCUGGAAAGGAAUGCAAGAGUUUUCAACAAGACCUUUCGAUGUAAUACUGCUAUACCGAGAGACAUAGUGUACAACUAUAAUGUUAGAGGCACCCCUAUAAUUAGACAACUAUUACAACACCUUAGUAUAUAGUAGAAGCUAGAUAGUUAGGACAGUAAAUGUAGUUAUUAUGUUAGCAUUUUGACAGUCAGCUAAGAUGAAGCUCGACUGUGGUUUUGUAAUGCAACUUCAUUGGUGAUUAAUGAAAAAGCUUAAUUACCAAAAAAAAAGAAGAGAAAUACAUGUAAGACAACAUGCUAACAAAUAGAGGACACCAAUAAAAUGACAGCAUGAGACAAUAUAACAAAUUGCGGUCAACAAACUUCUUCAUCACAACGUUCAUUAAUGUCACUCAGCAGACACAAGGAUGAUAUAAUUAAAUCAAUUUAAGAUGACUAAGUGACGCCAAUCACUGGAAACAUAAAAGGACUAACCAUGACAGCACACAAGAUAUGCAAGAACAAGUUUGAACUAAAUAUAGCUUAGAAUUACAAGCUCAUAAAUUAAGGAAAGCUAGUACUGAACUUGUAGUAACAAGCUCAUAAGGUAAGGACAUUUGGUCCUGAACUUUUUGAGCAGAAGGUUAUUUUAAACAAAGCUUCAAUUUCAAAUCAACAAAAAAAAAAGCAGGGGAGAUUAUAAUAACCUGAGAUUGGCUCUCCAAUAAGAUAAUUUCAACGAUUAACAACACUGAGUCGAGAAAAAUUGAGCGAAUCCGGAAUGGAGACAUUCAAUAGGAUCUUCAAACAAAGACAACGAUCCACGACCGGAGACAUGAGGGGCAACUCCAAAAUUUGAACACCUCCUCGGCUUUACUCCAUUUCGAACAAAAUCCAGAAGAAGCAAUUGUUUUUUUGUUUUGUUAUUUUUUUCAAUUUUUUGUCCAGCUACCGUCGAAAGUCCUUUUAUCUAACAUGUGCAUGCACGUGUGUAUUUGUGUGUGGUCGCCGGUUCUGCUGUAGUGAAGCCUACAGUGUUGUCGCGACUAUCUUUGUGUGCGUAGCGAUGGAUGGAUGGUUGUGGCUGUUGGUAUUCCGAUGAGUUUGAUGGUGUCCAGGUAGGGGGCGACGUUGGUCUUCUAGGGUUCAGAUGUGUUCUAUUGUGAGUUUUUGAAGAAGAAGGGUUAUCUAUGGUGUUUUGGUGAGGAAGAUUGCUAGGUUAUUGUUAUUAUCUAGUCAGUUGAAGAAGAUGAAGGUCUUCUCCAUGUGAAAUACGGCUGAUACCCCCUCUAGGUCUAGGGUUUUUUUGUGUUAUCUUUUGUUCAAGGAAGAAGAAGGAUAGCUGAAGGGCCAUUUAGGUCUAGGUUUUGGGCUUCAUAUUUGGGCUAAAAAUUGAAUUGAGC
rnacentral:lncRNA from 1 species